GCGCGAAAACUUUACAAUGCGGGCAACCGUGAUAAGGAAACCCCGAGUGCCAGCACAGGCUGGCUGUCCACCAGUGUAAACAACUGGUGAAGAAAGGGCCGGGCAAGACCGGUGCCAGCCGCCGCGGUAAUACCGGCGGCUCGAGUGGUGGCCGCUUUUACUGGGCUUAAAGGGUCCGUAGCUGGAUCUGCAAGUCCCUUGAGAAAUCUAUCGGCUUAACUGAUAGGCGUUCAGGGGAUACUGUGGUUCUAGGGACCGGGAGAGGUAAGAGGUACUGCCGGGGUAGGAGUGAAAUCCUGUAAUCCCGGUGGGACGACCUAUAGCGAAGGCAUCUUACCAGAACGGCUCCGACAGUGAGGGACGAAAGCUGGGGGAGCAAACCGGAUUAGAUACCCGGGUAGUCCCAGCUGUAAACGAUGCGCGUUAGGUGUGUCAGUGACCACGUGUCACUGAUGUGCCGAAGGGAAACCCGUGAAACGCGCCGCCUGGGGAUACGGUCGCAAAGGCUGAAACUUAAAGGAAUUGGCGGGGGAGCACCAGAACGGGGUG
rnacentral:rRNA from 1 species